UACGUAGGGUGCAAGCGUUGUCCGGAAUUAUUGGGCGUAAAGAGCUCGUAGGCGGUCUGUCGCGUCGGCUGUGAAAACUCGGGGCUCAACCCCGAGCCUGCAGUCGAUACGGGCAGACUAGAGUGCAGUAGGGGAGACUGGAAUUCCUGGUGUAGCGGUGAAAUGCGCAGAUAUCAGGAGGAACACCGGUGGCGAAGGCGGGUCUCUGGGCCGUAACUGACGCUGAGGAGCGAAAGCGUGGGGAGCGAACAGG
rnacentral:rRNA from 1 species